CAGUCGCCGCGGUAAUACGUGGGUGGCAAGCGUUGUCCGGAAUUAUCGGGCGUAAAGGGCUCGCAGGCGGUUUCUUAAGUCUGAUGUGAAAGCCCCCGGCUCAACCGGGGAGGGCCAUUGGAAACUGGGAAACUUGAGUGCAGAAGAGGAGAGUGGAAUUCCAUGUGUAGCGGUGAAAUGCGUAGAGAUGUGGAGGAACACCAGUGGCGAAGGCGACUCUCUGGUCUGUAACUGACGCUGGGGAGCGAAAGCGUGGGGAGCAAAUGGGAUUAGAGACCCCCGUAGUCCCUGUCUCUUAUAC
rnacentral:rRNA from 1 species